GUGAGUUGAGAGUCGAGUGGUGAAGAAUCGAGUUGAGAUAGUCGUGAGUUAAGAAUCGAGUAGAGUAGUCGUGAGUUGAGAGUCGAGUGGAGUAGUCUUGAGUUGAGUCGAGUGGAGUAGUCGUGAGUUGAGAGUCGAGUGGAGUAGUCUUGAGUUGAGAGUCGAGUGGAGUAGUCUUGAGUUGAGUCGAGUGGAGUAGUCGUGAGUUGAGAGUCGAGUGGAGUAGUCUUGAGUUGAGAGUCGAGUGGAGUAGUUGUGAUAGUCGUGAGUUGAGAGUCUAGGUAUGAGGAGUUGAGUAGUCGUUAGUUGAGAGUCGAGGUGUGAGGAGUUGAGUAGUCGUGAGUUGAGAGUCGAGAUGCGA
rnacentral:misc_RNA from 1 species